rnacentral:rRNA from 1 species
GGAGGCAGCAGUGGGGAAUAUUGCACAAUGGGCGAAAGCCUGAUGCAGCGACGCCGCGUGAGGGAUGACGGCCUUCGGGUUGUAAACCUCUUUCAGCAGGGAAAAAAGCGAAAGUGACGGUACCUGCAGAAAUAAGCGCCGGCUAACUACGUGCCAGCAGCCGCGGUAAUACGUAGGGCGCAAGCGUUGUCCGGAAUUAUUGGGCGUAAAGAGCUCGUAGGCGGCUUUGUCACGUCGGGGUGUGAAAGCCCGGGGCUUAACCCCCGGGUCUGCAUUCGAUACGGGCUAGCUAGAAUGUGGUAGGGGAGAUCGGAAUUCUUGGUGUAGCGGUGAAAUGCGCAGAUAUCAGGAGGAACACCCGGGUGGGCGAAGGCGGAUCUCUGGGCCAUUACUGACCGCUGAGGGAGCGAAAGCGUGGGGGAGCGAACCAGGAAUUAGGAUACCCUUGGUAGUCCACCGCCGUAAAACGGGUGGGAACUAGGGUGUUGGGGACAAUUUCCAGGGUCGUUCGGUGCCGCAGCUAAACGCCAUUAAGUUCCCCGCCCUGGGAGAGUACGCGCCGCAAGGCUUAAAACUCCAAAGAGAAUUGACGGGGGCCCGCACAAGCAGCGGGAGCAUGUGGGCUUAAUUCGACGCAACGCCGAAGAACCUUACCCAAGGCUUGACAUACACCCGGAAACGUCUGGAGACAGGGCGCCCCCUUGUGGUCGGUGUACAGGUGGUGCAUGGCUGUCGUCAGCUCGUGUCGUGAGAUGUUGGGUUAAGUCCCGCAACGAGCGCAACCCUUGUUCUGUGUUGCCAGC